GAUGAACGCUAGCUACAGGCUUAACACAUGCAAGUCGAGGGGCAGCAUUUCAGUUUGCUUGCAAACUGGAGAUGGCGACCGGCGCACGGGUGAGUAACACGUAUCCAACCUGCCGAUAACUCGGGGAUAGCCUUUCGAAAGAAAGAUUAAUACCCGAUGGUAUAAUCAGACCGCAUGGUCUUGUUAUUAAAGAAUUUCGGUUAUCGAUGGGGAUGCGUUCCAUUAGGCAGUUGGUGAGGUAACGGCUCACCAAACCUUCGAUGGAUAGGGGUUCUGAGAGGAAGGUCCCCCACAUUGGAACUGAGACACGGUCCAAACUCCUACGGGAGGCAGCAGUGAGGAAUAUUGGUCAAUGGGCGCAGGCCUGAACCAGCCAAGUAGCGUGAAGGAUGACUGCCCUAUGGGUUGUAAACUUCUUUUAUAUGGGAAUAAAGUUUUCCACGUGUGGAAUUUUGUAUGUACCAUAUGAAUAAGGAUCGGCUAACUCCGUGCCAGCAGCCGCGGUAAUACGGAGGAUCCGAGCGUUAUCCGGAUUUAUUGGGUUUAAAGGGAGCGUAGGUGGACAGUUAAGUCAGUUGUGAAAGUUUGCGGCUCAACCGUAAAAUUGCAGUUGAUACUGGCUGUCUUGAGUACAGUAGAGGUGGGCGGAAUUCGUGGUGUAGCGGUGAAAUGCUUAGAUAUCACGAAGAACUCCGAUUGCGAAGGCAGCUCACUGGACUGCAACUGACACUGAUGCUCGAAAGUGUGGGUAUCAAACAGGAUUAGAUACCCUGGUAGUCCACACAGUAAACGAUGAAUACUCGCUGUUUGCGAUAUACAGUAAGCGGCCAAGCGAAAGCAUUAAGUAUUCCACCUGGGGAGUACGCCGGCAACGGUGAAACUCAAAGGAAUUGACGGGGGCCCGCACAAGCGGAGGAACAUGUGGUUUAAUUCGAUGAUACGCGAGGAGCCUUACCCGGGCUUAAAUUGCAUUUGAAUAUAUUGGAAACAGUAUAGCCGUAGGGCAAAUGUGAAGGUGCUGCAUGGUUGUCGUCAGCUCGUGCCGUGAGGUGUCGGCUUAAGUGCCAUAACGAGCGCAACCCUUAUCUUUAGUUACUAACAGGUCAUGCUGAGGACUCUAGAGAGACUGCCGUCGUAAGAUGUGAGGAAGGUGGGGAUGACGUCAAAUCAGCACGGCCCUUACGUCCGGGGCUACACGCGUGUUACAAUGGGGGGUACAGAAGGCAGCUACCUGGUGACAGGAUGCUAAUCCCAAAAGCCUCUCUCAGUUCGGAUCGAAGUCUGCAACCCGACUUCGUGAAGCUGGAUUCGCUAGUAAUCGCGCAUCAGCCAUGGCGCGGUGAAUACGUUCCCGGGCCU
rnacentral:rRNA from 1 species